rnacentral:misc_RNA from 1 species
AUGUGUCAAGAUUUUUUGGCACACUGUUUCCAGAGAAAAAUUUCGAAUAAGUCAAGAUAUUGUGUUCAUUUUUAAUCAUACAAGAAUUGCCUGGUGAUUUCAUCAGAUAAUGUGUUCAUUUAAACCUUUAUAGAUCUUUUUUAUUAGUCAUUUCCAAAUAAGAUUGUUAACUUAAAGUGUUAUAAAGAGUCAACAUUCAUUUUUUAUGUCAUGUGCCAAAGGUACCACUUGAAUUGUUUGUUGCAUUUGUUAUAUAAUCCAUGUAGAUGCUAUUCCAUGUAUAUUAUAAUUAAUCAUAAAUAUUAAAUUUUGAAUGAAUACAUUAAUAAUUAAUGAUAUUACUUUACGUACAACUUUUUACGAGGUUUGUUUACUGUAAUACUAGACAAUUUGCUUUUGUCUGUUGUACUGACAUGUUGAAAUAAGAACCUAGUCCAGCAGAAAAAACAACCUGUUUAGUUUCUUACACAUAUAUACAUAUGAAUUGUUACUUAAAUUUGAAAACAAAAGAAUUAUUUGAUAAAAUUGACAUCAUUC